CGAAGGUCCCAAGCGUUAUCCGGAUUUAUUGGGUUUAAAGGGUGCGUAGGCGGCUUAUUAAGUCAGUGGUGAAAGCUCCAUGCUUAACGUGGGAAUUGCCAUUGAUACUGAUGAGCUUGAGUAGAUUUGAGGCGGGCGGAAUGUGUCGUGUAGCGGUGAAAUGCUUAGAUAUGACACAGAACACCGAUUGCGUAGGCAGCUCGCUAAACUCUUACUGACGCUGAGGCACGAAAGCAUGGGGAUCAAACAGGAUUAGAUACCCUGGUAGUCCAUGCCCUAAACGAUGAUUACUCGAUGUGUGCGAUAUACUGUACGCGUCUGAGCGAAAGCAUUAAGUAAUCCACCUGGGGAGUACGGCCGCAAGGCUG
rnacentral:rRNA from 1 species